GUGCCAGCAGCCGCGGUAAUACGGAGGAUGCAAGCGUUAUCCGGAUUUAUUGGGUUUAAAGGGUACGUAGGCGGGAGCUUAAGUCAGUGGUGAAAUCCUGCAGCUUAACUGUAGAACUGUCAUUGAUACUGGGCUUCUUGAAUGUAGUUGAGGUAGGCGGAAUGUGUAAUGUAGCGGUGAAAUGCUUAGAUAUUACACAGAACACCGAUUGCGAAGGCAGCUUACUAAACUACGAUUGACGCUGAGGUACGAAAGCGUGGGGAGCGAACGGGAUUAGAUACCCUGGUAGUCCACGCUGUAAACGAUGAUCACUCGUUGUUGGCAAUACACCGUCAGCGACUGAGCGAAAGCAUUAAGUGAUCCACCUGGGGAGUACGACCGCAAGGUUGAAACUCAAAGGAAUUGACGGGGGCCCGCACAAGCGGAGGAACAUGUGGUUUAAUUCGAUGAUACGCGAGGAACCUUACCUGGGCUUAAAUGUAGAACGACGGACCGGGAAACUGGUCUUUCUUCGGACGGUCUGCAAGGUGCUGCAUGGCUGUCGUCAGCUCGUGCCGUGAGGUGUCGGGUUAAGUCCCAUAACGAGCGCAACCCUCAUCAUUAGUUGCCAGCGGGUAAUGCCGGGGACUCUAAUGAAACUGCCGGUGUAAACCGAGAGGAAGGUGGGGAUGACGUCAAGUCAGCACGGCCCUUAUGUCCAGGGCUACACACGUGUUACAAUGGUCGGUACAAAGGGCAGCUACCUGGCGACAGGAUGCUAAUCUCGAAAACCGAUCUCAGUUCGGAUCGAAGUCUGCAACUCGACUUCG
rnacentral:rRNA from 1 species